CGCUCUUUGCUUAUGUAAAAUAAGGAGUCGUACCUGCCCAGUGAAAAUUUUAAACGGCCGCAGUACCCUGACUGUGCUAAGGUAGCAUAAUCAUUUGCCUUUUAAUUGAAGGCUGGAAUGAAUGGUUUGACGAAAAUUUAACUGUCUCUAUUACAUUAUCUAAAAAUUAUUUUUUAGGUGAAGAAGCCUAAAUUUAAUUGAAAGACGAAAAGACCCUGUCGAGCUUAAAAGUUAGUGAUAAAUUAAUUGAGUUUGUAGUAUAAAAAUUUUUAUAAUUGAGUUUUUUGUUGGGGUGACAGAAGAACAUUAUUAGCUUCUUUUUAUUAUAGAAACUUAUAAGUUUUAAAGAUCUGCUUAAUUGCAAAUUAAGAAAAGUUACCGCAGGGAUAACAGCGUUAUUUUUCUGGAAAGUUCGAAUUGAAGGAGAAGUUUGCGACCUCGAUGUUGGAUUAGAAGACCAAAUAGGUGCAGAAGCUUAUUUAUGGAGGUCUGUUCGACCUUUAAAUUUCUACA
rnacentral:rRNA from 1 species